CCUCCUCCUUCCCAGGCUUUACACCACCCUCACCUCCGCCUCCUUCAAGUCGUCAGGAGUUUCCAGAUGAUCGUCUUGUUGAUCCCACUCCUGCCUGGACAGGUGGCCUUGGUGGAUCAGAGGGGAGGGAACUUGUGGGUCUGGUGAGCGCUGGCAACUCCCUGGGUGAGGAUGGACUGGUGGUGGUGGUGGUGGUGGUAGUAGCGGUUGGAAGGCGAGCGUGCGAGCAGGCGCGGUGUUGUGUGUUCCUCAGUGCAGGUAUGUGCAGGGAAAGGCUUACCAACAUGGCGGACAAGUGGCGUCAGUACUCACCCCUGCUUCUCAUCCUCGACUUGAAAUCUAUGCCACUGGCCAAAUCGUCGACUAUUUUCAAAGUCUUCUGCAUCCACUCUCAGUAUGUGAGGCUCCCUGGAGGUUCGUUGGCAUUGUGCGUUUUGAUCUUCACUCGUGCCAUCCUUGUUACAUGUCAAUACAAUAAUAUAACCUACAAGGGGCCGAGGCCCGACACACAACACAACUAAAGGACAGAAAAAUGGAAGGAGCCUACCUAUGUACCUCAGUUCAGCAGUCCAGCAGCCUCUAAAAGCCCACGCAACUGCCCUGCAUGAGGUACGACCUGACCCUAUCCAACGUUUUUGCUGGAACCUUCCUCACUGGCUUAAUUAAGGCAGCUGCCCUUCUAAGGGCCCCCCUUGAGGCACUGCCCGCGGGGUUCACCUUCACCAGUGAGGAGGACACUAAGGGCGAAAAGAGAAAUACAGUGGAGAGAAAAGAUGCCUGGGCGGGACUCAACAACACCACCACCACCACCACCACGGAGUCCCCGGUACACAGGGCUUGGGAGGGUUCCCAGGUGGAAUUCUCCCUGUUGUGCAGGACAAGCACAGACGUCACUGGCAGGAUGUAGGUAGCUGGCAGUGUGGCGGGGCACAGCGGUGUUUCCACUCGCCCUCAGACCUUCACGUGGCACUCCCUAUAUAAGGCACACCAUUCUGUCUAAUCUUUUAAAGCUCCCUAGUGACUCAGCACCCACAGCCACAUUACGGAGUCCACCUGUUCAUCCACCACUCUAUCUGAGAACCACUUCCCUCCUGUCUAUUUCUCAAACGUAUUUUUUAUUCAAGUUUGCAUCGUUACCUGCCGCAGCCUUACCCUGAUUAGUGAGCCUGGACAUUUUACCUUUGUUACCCUUGAAAUAUUGAGGAUGUAUCUUGCGUUUUCUAUGGUUGCGUUAAAAAGAAAAUGUGUAUUAUUAC